rnacentral:rRNA from 1 species
AUGGUUUGGGAUCAUUUUGUAUCUCAUACAUUUGAGGAUUCGGUUUGUUUGUUUGAAUCUUGUUUCAAACAGGUAUGUGGUAGCUGUGAUUCUGCAGCUAGCAGCUGUUAUGAAGGCAUGAUGACGAAUUACAUUGGAGAAUCACAUUUGUUAGAGACUGUGAAUGCUCAGUUGGUAUACUUGGAUGGCGAAGUUCUUGUCAAAGUAGAUGCUGAAAUCAGCAUGCAAAAGGAGAAAUUUCUGAUGUCCGAGCAGUCAUUUAUUCGCUUUUCACCACACUUCUUAUUUUUUGCAAACAUGGACCUACGCUCAGAAAGCAACAAAACCGAAUCUUCUAUUAAGAGCUGCUCUAACAUAAAUUCGGCAUGGGCAUCCCUUAUAGUUGAAGAGUGUGUCAGGCUUGGUUUUACGUACUUUUGUAUAGCUCCAGGGUCAAGGUCAUCCCCACUUGCACUUUCUGCCACAGGCCACCCUUUGACAACUUGCAUAUCAUGUUAUGAUGAACGUUCACUUGGAUUUCAUGCUCUUGGCUAUGGGAGAGGUUCUAGAAAGCCUGCAAUAGUAAUUACAUCAUCAGGAACUGCUGUUUCAAAUCUUCUCCCUUCGGUGGUGGAGGCAAGUCAAAAUUUCGUACCAGUAAUCUUGCUCACAGCUGAUCGUCCUCCUGAGCUGCAUGAUGCUGGAGCCAACCAAGCGAUUGAUCAGGUCAAUCAUUUCAGUAACUUUGUAAGAUAUUUUUUUAAUCUCCCUCCACCUGGUGAUCAGAUUUAUGCAAGAAUGGUUCUUACAACAAUUGAUUCAGCAGCCUACAAUGCAAUGCAAGCACCACAAGGUCCGGUGCAUAUAAACUGUGCUUUUAGGGAACCACUAGAUCACAGUAAUCAAAAUUGGAGUUUUGAUUGUUUGAGAGGAUUGGACAGGUGGUUUAGAAAUGAUGAACCAUAUACUAGAUACCUAGAAAUGAAAAUGGUCUCUGCAUUUGGUAAUUAUUCUUGUUCAGUAAUAGAGGUUCAAGAUAUCAUAAAGAAGGCAAAGCAAGGGCUUCUAUUAGUUGGAGCUAUUCAUAAAGAAGAUGACAUGUGGGCUGUGGCUUUACUAGCUAGACAACUUUCCUGGCCAGUUGCCGCUGACAUUCUGUCUGGGCUGCGAAUGAGGAAAGUUCUAAAUUCAUUUCCAGGAUUUGAUAAGAGUAUUUUGUUUAUAGACCAAAUAGAUCAAAUUCUACUGUCGGACUCUGUCAAAAGCUGGAUAAAUCCAGAUGUUAUUGUGCAGAUUGGAAGCCGGAUUACUAGCAAACGCAUGGAAAUGUUUCUCGAGUCCUGCUUCCCAUCUUCAUACAUCUUGAUUGAUACACAUCCGUGCCGCCAUGAUCCUUCACAUGUUGUCACUCACAGAAUCCAGACUAGUGUAGCUGACUUUGCUGCUAGUUUGUGCCAAUGUAAUUUAGAAAGGAAGACAAGCAGAUGGAAGGAUAUUUUGAUGGUUCUAAAUUCAGCGGUUUCACAGGAAAUAAUGUUUCAUGUACAUGCGGAAUUCUCGCUUACAGAACCAUAUGUUGCACAUGUAAUUGGAGAGGCACUUUAUGGUAAUGCUGCCAUGUUUGUUGGGAAUAGCAUGGUCAUUCGAGACUUGAACAUGUUUGGGAAGGGCUGGCUUGACCAUACCACCAACGGAGGUAACAUGAUGAUGCAUAAUAUUCCAGAUUUCAUUGGUGCAACAGUGUCUGGGAACCGAGGAGCAAGUGGUAUUGAUGGUUUGCUUAGCACAGCGAUCGGAUUUGCUGUUGGGUCAAACAAGCAUGUAUGCUGUGUGGUUGGUGAUGUAUCUUUUCUUCAUGAUACGAACGGAUUGUCACUUCUCAACCAAAGGGCCCAGAGGAAACCCAUGACAGUGAUUGUAAUCAACAACCAUGGUGGUGCAAUCUUCAGCCUUCUACCAGUUGCAAAAACAGCUUCGCCCCAAAUUUUGCAGAAAUACUUCUACACCUCACAUGACAUAUCGAUUUCUAAACUCUGUGAUGCACACAGGUAA